GUCUUUGUUUGCAACUUAGUAACUUCACUCCAGACUCUGGAGGGUCUGAUUGUGGCUCUGAUCAGACUGAUCAUGGGCGGAGUCUUCAGUUUGUAUAGAAGUAUAACUUUAUAACUUCACCCUACCCUCUGGUUGCUUUUUGAAAUCAAUUAGAUGUUUGCAGGGGAGUGUGACCUUUGUAACUUCACUUCAUCCUCUGGUUGGCUGCUGUCUGCAGCCAAACAGACUGAUUUCAGGCUACCACAUCAUUUAUAUGAAGUGAGCAUGAAGUAGCCGAUGAGAAACUUUCAGGGGGUAUUUGGACCCAAGAAGGUUCUGUAUUCGGGCCCUUGAGCUGCAGCUUGGGCCCACUUCCACACUGUGGAGUGUACUUUCAUUUUCAAUAAAUCCCUGCUUCUCUUCUUUUGUUGCUUCAUCCUUUGCUUUGCUGGGCGUUUUGUCCAAUUCUUUUUUCAAAAUGCCGAGAACCUGGACAACUUGCAAUCGUGACCAGUGACACAGGCAGCUGUGAUCUGGGGAAGGAGGCCAGCAUGAGAGAACUUGCCACUUUUCCCAGGGAGGACCUGGUGUCUCAUCAGACAGAGAGAGGAACUGGAAGUGGCCUGCUACUUCUCCUAUUUCACAAAGAACCACUUGGUGAACCAGGUUCAAAAGGGCCCAGGCUCUGUCACCAGUGGAAUCCUGUCUCCAAGCCGUCAGGCUGAACACACGUUCCCUGUUUAAACACACGUGCCCAGCCCCUCCUUCUGCAAGGUAACCACAUAGAAAGUUAGUCUAACACCCCUUAUCUGCCCUGUGUGGGGAGCCUGUGGAAGCUGGUCUCAGGAUCUGGCUGGGUAAACCAUCUGUUUACUUCUGUGUGGGUUUUGACAGUCCUAGUCAGUUCUGUUUCUCUGAACCUUGUUUCUCCACUCUGCUUGCCAAGUCCCUUUCUCUUACUUUUUUUUCCCCCUCCUUCCUUUCCUCCCUCCCUCCCUCCCUCCUUCCUUCUUUCUUUCCUCCCUCCCUCCCUCCCUUUCUUCCUUCC